UUAAAAAGCUCGUAGUUGGAUUUCUGUGGGGACGGAGCGGCCGGCCGCUACUAGCGGUUCGAGCUAGCGCUUUCCCUACAUCCUGCCGCGAACCGUGCUACCAUUAGUUUGGUGGCGCCGGGGAUCGGCUCGUUUACUUUGAGAAAAAUAGAGUGUUCAAAGCAGGCCACACGCCUUGAAUAAGUAGCAUGGAAUAAUAACUAAGGACUUCGGUUCUAUUUUGUUGGUGUUCGGGACUGAAGUAAUGAUUGAUAGGGACAGUUGGGGCGGUCCGUAUUCCAAAGCGAGAGGUGAAAUUCUUAGACCUUCGGAAGACGAACAGCUGCGAAAGCGUUCCGCAAGGAUGUUCCCCUUGAUCAAGAACGAAAGUUGGGGGGUCGAAGACGAUCAGAUACCGUCGUAGUCUCAACUAUAAACUAUACC
rnacentral:rRNA from 1 species